UUGCAACACCGAGAGCGGGAAAAGGGAUCAUUUUGGAGACUUUGUUUUGCCCCGUAUGGCUUGAACUGGUCAAACAACACAAAAAUAAGGACAGAGUGCUGUAUGGUGAUGCCGUGAGAUCCAAGCCAUCAUGUUGGCAGCCAAAGAAAAACUUCAAGGCUUCAAGAUGGAGUCUACUGUCAAACGAUACAAACAGAUCAAUACAUUGUGGAUUGUGAACAACUUUGCCUUAAGAACGUCCGCGCUACCUUAACGCUAACGCAUAGUG